CAGGGAGACAAAAAAUUAAUUGUGAUGUCUAAGUUUUUCUCUUAGGCCGCAAUUCUGUCACCUUAGGUCGAUCGGUACCUCACAUCAAUUGAUUAAUUUUAUUUUUAAGAAAUUGAUUUCAGUUCCUGAGCUUGUCUAGGUCACACCCAUCAUUUUCUCCUGGGCCAUUAGCUCAGGUGGUUAGAGCGCACCCCUGAUAAGGGUGAGGUCCCUGGUUCAAGUCCAGGAUGGCCCAUUCGUUGUUGGGGGUAUAGCUCAGUUGGUAGAGCGCCUGCUUUGCAAGCAGGAUGUCAGCGGUUCGAGUCCGCUUACCUCCACUGAAAACUACCUUAAAUAAUGCAAAUCUGGAGAAAAUUUUAAUUGUGAUUUAGAUCUUGUCUAUUUGAAAAGAACCUAGCUUCUUGUCAUCUUUUAACAGUUGAUAUGAUGCUGGGCUCACCUGGAUUUCCCAAGUGAUUUCAGUAGAACCUUGACAACUGCAUAGAUAAAAAGAAUAAAGCAUCUCAUGGAUGCAUAAUUCUUGAGUUAAAUCUUUUUAGAUUUUACUUAGGAAUUCAUGUUUAAUUCUUGAGUAAAAGCCGAGCACAAUUAAAUUUGUGAUUGUAUUUAA
rnacentral:tRNA from 1 species